CACGUGAGUAACCUGCCCUUAACUCUGGGAUAAGCCUGGGAAACUGGGUCUAAUACCGGAUAUGACUCCUCAUCGCAUGGUGGGGGGUGGAAAGCUUUAUUGUGGUUUUGGAUGGACUCGCGGCCUAUCAGCUUGUUGGUGAGGUAAUGGCUCACCAAGGCGACGACGGGUAGCCGGCCUGAGAGGGUGACCGGCCACACUGGGACUGAGACACGGCCCAGACUCCUACGGGAGGCAGCAGUGGGGAAUAUUGCACAAUGGGCGCAAGCCUGAUGCAGCGACGCCGCGUGAGGGAUGACGGCCUUCGGGUUGUAAACCUCUUUCAGUAGGGAAGAAGCGAAAGUGACGGUACCUGCAGAAGAAGCGCCGGCUAACUACGUGCCAGCAGCCGCGGUAAUACGUAGGGCGCAAGCGUUAUCCGGAAUUAUUGGGCGUAAAGAGCUCGUAGGCGGUUUGUCGCGUCUGCCGUGAAAGUCCGGGGCUCAACUCCGGAUCUGCGGUGGGUACGGGCAGACUAGAGUGAUGUAGGGGAGACUGGAAUUCCUGGUGUAGCGGUGAAAUGCGCAGAUAUCAGGAGGAACACCGAUGGCGAAGGCAGGUCUCUGGGCAUUAACUGACGCUGAGGAGCGAAAGCAUGGGGAGCGAACAGGAUUAGAUACCCUGGUAGUCCAUGCCGUAAACGUUGGGCACUAGGUGUGGGGGACAUUCCACGUUUUCCGCGCCGUAGCUAACGCUUUAAGUGCCCCGCCUGGGGAGUACGGCCGCAAGGCUAAAACUCAAAGGAAUUGACGGGGGCCCGCACAAGCGGCGGAGCAUGCGGAUUAAUUCUGAUGCAACGCGAAGAACCUUACCAAGGCUUGACAUGGACUGGAAACAUCUGGAAACAGGUGCCCCGCUUGCGGCCGGUUCACAGGUGGUGCAUGGUUGUCGUCAGCUCGUGUCGUGAGAUGUUGGGUUAAGUCCCGCAACGAGCGCAACCCUCGUUCCAUGUUGCCAGCGCGUAAUGGCGGGGACUCAUGGGAGACUGCCGGGGUCAACUCGGAGGAAGGUGGGGACGACGUCAAAUCAUCAUGCCCCUUAUGUCUUGGGCUUCACGCAUGCUACAAUGGCCGGUACAAAGGGUUGCGAUACUGUGAGGUGGAGCUAAUCCCAAAAAGCCGGUCUCAGUUCGGAUUGGGGUCUGCAACUCGACCCCAUGAAGUCGGAGUCGCUAGUAAUCGCAGAUCAGCAACGCUGCGGUGAAUACGUUCCCGGGCCUUGUACACAC
rnacentral:rRNA from 1 species